UCUCUGCUGACUGCAACGGGCACAGGAUCAGUCCCUUGCCCUUAUACCUCUUUAACUAUCCCACUCAUAACGCUGUCAUCAUGAGCUUAAGGAUGUGGCCUCGAAGGAGAGAAGAAAUGUCUUUGAAGCAAUGAAAUAUAUCUAAGAUUCUGGAUAUCUGCCAUUUUAAAACCCUGAGCCAAGCACACACAGCCUUAGCAGCAGGUUGACAGUUUGGAAGCAAGGAGCAAACAGAGGAAAAAAAAUCCUACCAUGCAUCCUCCCUGUCUCACUCCCUCUGAUUCCAGGCAUUUUGGGUGCAUUGAGCCACAUCCCCAUGCCCAGCCCGUCAGGCAGCCCCUGUGUCUGCAGCCAUGCUGGAGCCUGCCCAUCGUGCCGCCAAUCCCUGAACCCUCCUGGAAACCAGCUCCAGGGGUUGGUGCUUGCUGCUGCACAUAUCUGAGGAAGAGAAAACAUGUGGGCUCAGGUUCAGGGUGCUGGAGAGGCUGAGCAGUCAGAGGGAUUGCUCCCAGGAGCAGGGAGCAGUCGGCAAAGCGGCAGCGCUUCCCCCAGAGCAGGGUGGAUGUCAUGCCUGUUUCUCCCCAAAAGCAAACUGACUGGAAAUACUAAAAAGUUUUUGCAAUCCUAUUGGUCCUGCCGAGGAAGCCUGACUGGCAGGACAAUACAUCUUUGUUCUCAAUUAAAGCCAUUAUUUGGGUGCAAUAAUCAUUUAAAAGCCAAGAGGAAUAAGAUUUUUGUGAUUAUAACCACAAAUUGUCAAUUGAAGCGAAUGUUUUAAACAAUCAAGGUUUGGUAGAGAAAGAAGAGAGCGGGAAUAAUAACAACCUCUACUAUGACUCCGUGUAGCCUUCAUCCAGCCAGUACAAUUUUACUUGCAUUCUGAAAUCAAUGCACCAUAAUCACAAACCAAAAUCGUGACUGUAGUAAAAACCCACAUACGACACGAGCAGAUGUGGAGGGAUUCCGUCAGGACUUUACAUUACUGGAUACUAACUGACUGCCUAGAGUCUUCUCCUUCCAAAUCCCACACAAGACAAAUGGUACAUUUCUAGAAUCCUUUAGUCUUUGCCAACAACUAACUAAACAAAUAAGCAGUGGAUAAGGAAGCUCAGCUAUUACCUGCUAUUGCACAUCUAUGACAGCCCAAGAGAAAAGACCACCAGCUCCAGCCUCCUUACUAGGUUUAUUUCAAGGAUGCAGCUGGAAUGUGGAACUGGAGGGGACAGAGCCAAACAAGCUUGACAGAAGAGGGAAAGCAGCUGAUGGAAGGAUGAAGGCCAAGGUGAAUGGUUUCUCUUCCUCUCCUGACUUACUCAUCAGUUUGCACUUCAGCCUAGAGAGCAGCCCCAGACUGUUUGAGCUGGGCAAGGGGAAGGACUAGAUCCCUGUGCUGAAAGUGAACCUGUUAGGAUCUGCCUUUACCUCUCAGGAUGUCCAAACAUGAUCACAUCCAACUUCAGGCAUUUUUACACUGGUUUGAAAAACAGAUCAUUCCCAACUGGUAAUGACAGCUCAGCAUAUUGAAAACAUUGGUCAGUAAUAUAUUGCAAUAAUGCAACUGCAAAGACAGCUCUGUGAGGAACAUAUUCCACCCUUGGUUUGCUAGAAAAUAUUUGUUUGCAGUACUAAACCUGUAUCUAGUGAGGAAAAAAGAACUCUCUUAUUCCAGUAUUUGAAGAGUUAGGCAACUGGUGAAGUCUAAAUACCAUCAUUCUCUAGAUUUAUCACUGGAAUUUCUAUUGCAAUUAAUGUUUAUUCAAUAUACUGCGUGAUACUAGCUAAAAAAAAAAAUCAACAUUCAUAAAUAGAUUUUUGAGUUAGAGAAACACUAACAUUCUGAGCUAAUACAGAAUUCAUACCCAAAAAUUUUUUCAAAAUUUGGGUAACUUCAUUCCAAGUACUAGAGCUGGGAAUGUUUGUCACCCAAAGCAAAAUUUUUUGUCAAGCUCUUAAGCCUCUGCAAAUAUGAUUUAAAAUAGAAGCUGAAAGAGAAAGUCCAUGAAGUGCAGAAAAAUAAAGAGAAGCAAUAUUUUAGAUCUAAAACUAAAGUUACAUUUCUCAUUACUUUUGUGAGUCACAACAUUAAUAUGGAAUGGUCUCAACAGUUCAAUUGUACUCGAGCUCUAAAAUUAGAUAAAUGUCCUAGGAAUUUCCAGAAAUCUUUGAAAAAAUAAAUUAAAAAGUAUUUCCUGCCCAACCUCCACCAAAACCAUUCUGCAUGAAAUGAAUUAACAUUACAAAAAAAAUCAAGACUUUCGUUCUCUGGUAGUUCUAUCAAACAGAAUUCAACACACGAUGACAACAACAUGAAAAUACCAAACACUUCUGGGACCAUUCUUCCAUUAGUAUCUUGAAAAGACAUUUUAUAACUUUUAUGUGAACUUUAAUGUAUUCAAAUGUGACUUCCUAAAUUUUUCUUAAUGUUUCAUUUCACUGAAAUUUAUAUUUAAGCUAUAAACACUAUUUUAUUUUAUACCUAACAACAAUCAGUUUACCAUAACUGAGACUAGGAAGGUGAAUUGAGAGGAAGGUAGGAAGUGGGAAAAAAGUAGCAACUGUAAAUUCAGUUUCCAAAUGUAGAAUUACUAUGUUCCUUCCUGUACGGAGUACUGCAUUUUCUUAGUCUUUAUUUUCAUGUUAAAAAAGACAAAAGAUUACUGUAGUCUGAAAAAUGUUAUUCCAGGUAAACUUAAAGAAUAUGAAUCACAUAACACUGAAAUAUGAACAUAAUAGCUGAAAUUACUUCUCUUCAUACAUAAAAGAAAGUCCUGAGGCUGCACCUUCAGUGAUUUAGUCAACUGUAUAUGAUUUAUGAACAAUUUUUUAAAUUACAGAGUCCAUAAACCUGCUCCUCCUCAAACUAGAGAGGCAGCAACGGGGUUUGCUCAUUUAUUAAGGACCAUUCACCUCACUAUUCAUUCUUAUAGAGCCCCUUUUUGGUUGCUAUGGGCCAAAAUUUUUUAUUUCACCAUUUGGAAAAUAUAUAAAAGGGGCAUUGCCAGGACUGAGGUAUUCCUGACUAAAUCUUAUAAACGUGGUGUGAAAGACUAUUACUCAUCAUAUUUACUCUUUCAGCAUGGUGGUAGACGCACAGAAAACUGCCCUGGAAAUUAAGAACCUGGAAGACCACUCUGUAGACCAUAGUCAAGCAGGCUCCAGAGCUGAUGCUGAUCACUAAGUCACAGAAUACAAUCAAGACCAAUAAAACCAAGAAAUGUCAAAUUUUACUGGCAAAAAUUAGAAAAAAAAAUUUCCUUUGCUUGGCUUUUCAGUUUACUCAUUAAAUUUAAGCCUUUAAAUUUAUUCCUUGGAAAUCAGAAAGCUUUUAAACUGCACACUUUGGAAUUAAUAGCACAAGUAAUUGCCAAAUGUCACAACAAAUGGCAGUUCCAUGUUCACAAAGAUUAUGCAUUGUGGUGGAGGCUGCUUUAUAGGUGAGCUUAGAAGUAUUUCAAAGAGGAGCUUGUAGGUUCUUGCUGUACAAGAGUAACAUUUUUGUUAAUGGAAGGGAAUCAAGCAGAAUAUAGAAGGCACUGGCAGAACAAGAGGUGCUGAUUUUUGCAGCAACAAAGCAGAAAAUGUAAGCAAGGUAUAAUGAUUCAAGGUGGAGAGAAGCUGGAAUGGUGAAGAAGCCUGUGGAUCUGGGUGGCAACAUUGAAAAAAUUAUUUCUAAAAACUGAUGAAACUUCAUAAUCUCUGAGAAAAUCUUCGUUUAACCAGUUACUGUUAUUCAAUAUUUUAUGUGUUAGGAAAUUUUGGAGAUUUUUGUUUUGAAUUUGUGUGGGGGUUUUUUUGUUUGUUUGUUUUUCAUUUAAAUUGACAAUAAAAUGACCUUUUUUUUUUUUGUGGAAUACAGAUAAGAUUUUUACAAAUGUUACUUAUGUUUGAAGCGAUAUAUUGCACUUCCCGUGACCUUCUAAGCACUUAAUAUUUCACAAUUAACCAAAUAGUUUAGAUUUCCACAUGCAAUGUUUGUUUCCUUUCUAGUCAGAACUGACGAGCAAUAACUACAAAUGUUAAACGCCCUAUAGAUAUUUUUUCUUAUUUAUUUUCUCUUUUUUUGGUUCUUUAAAGAAACUUCUCCCUUCAAACAGUGUGAAUCCCUUAAUAAUUAGGUGGAAGAUGUUUUCAUACAAAGAUAUAUAGAAGCAAACUGUACAUGAGAAUAUAUAAAAGCCUUCCUUA